rnacentral:tRNA from 1 species
GGGGGUAUAGUAUAGCCCGGUAUUAUUACCGGCUCCAGACCGGUGGAGGGGGGUUCAAAUCCCUCUGCCCCCACCA